rnacentral:rRNA from 1 species
UGGGGAAUAUUGCACAAUGGGCGCAAGCCUGAUGCAGCCAUGCCGCGUGUAUGAAGAAGGCCUUCGGGUUGUAAAGUACUUUCAGCGGGGAGGAAGGCGAUAAGGUUAAUAACCUUGUCGAUUGACGUUACCCGCAGAAGAAGCACCGGCUAACCCCGUGCCAGCAGCCGCGGUAAUACGGAGGGUGCAAGCGUUAAUCGGAAUUACUGGGCGUAAAGCGCACGCAGGCGGUCUGUCAAGUCGGAUGUGAAAUCCCCGGGCUCAACCUGGGAACUGCAUUCGAAACUGGCAGGCUAGAGUCUUGUAGAGGGGGGUAGAAUUCCAGGUGUAGCGGUGAAAUGCGUAGAGAUCUGGAGGAAUACCGGUGGCGAAGGCGGCCCCCUGGACAAAGACUGACGCUCAGGUGCGAAGGCGUGGGGAGCAAACA